rnacentral:lncRNA from 1 species
AUGUAAUUUUUCCACAAUUGUGACCACUGUUCCCUCCUCUGCAGGUUGACCCGAGCAAAAUAUCAAACCGCGACGCGAGCCGGAGGAGCUGCUGUACCGGAGAGCCCACCGCCGGUAAGUUUUAGUUUUUUGUGUUUUUUCGACCCACCGAGGGCCCUAAGAGUAUUUUCUCAAUGGAAUCAAUGCAAUUUUAGCUGAAUUCAGCCGAAAACGGCAAGAAACAG